GAUGAACGCUGGCGGCGUGCCUAAUACAUGCAAGUCGAGCGAACGGACGAGAAGCUUGCUUUUCUGAUGUUAGCGGCGGACGGGUGAGUAACACGUGGAUAACCUACCUAUAAGACUGGGAUAACUUCGGGAAACCGGAGCUAAUACCGGAUAAUAUUUUGAACCGCAUGGUUCAAAAGUGAAAGACGGUCUUGCUGUCACUUAUAGAUGGAUCCGCGCUGCAUUAACUAGUUGGUAAGGUAACGGCUUACCAAGGCAACGAUGCAUAGCCGACCUGAGAGGGUGAUCGGCCACACUGGAACUGAGACACGGUCCAGACUCCUACGGGAGGCAGCAGUAGGGAAUCUUCCGCAAUGGGCGAAAGCCUGACGGAGCAACGCCGCGUGAGUGAUGAAGGUCUUCGGAUCGUAAAACUCUGUUAUUAGGGAAGAACAUAUGUGUAAGUAACUGUGCACAUCUUGACGGUACCUAAUCAGAAAGCCACGGCUAACUACGUG
rnacentral:rRNA from 1 species